CACACACACACACUCUCUCUCUCACACACACACACACACACGCAUGCACACACUCACACGCUCACACACACACACUCACAUGCUGACAUGCACACACACACACACACACAACCAUGUGAUGUGAGGGAUAAGUGCAUGCCUUGUAUGGAAGAUUGAGUAUCUUUGGUUCUUGGAGGUCUGCUUUUAGUUUUGAACACUUGAAAACUGAUUGUGUAUUAUAACCAUUCAUUUAACACCAAUCAUAUUUAACCCUUAAUAUACUUGAAAACUGUCAAAGCAGUGGAUUCACAGGAGUAUAAUGGUUUUUGCUGUAAGUAUGUAGGUGUGUAGGAAUGUACGUACACAUGCGUUGGUACUGCUGAAUGGAGUGUUGAAGUUGCACAUGUUGCUGCUCGUUUUCGGGGUGAUCCUGUCCCUCUGGGUCUCUUUGCUCAUGGAGGAACGAUCAGAACAGUCAUAUUUCAGCCACAGGUACGAUCAGAACAGUCAUGUUUCAGCCACAGGUGUGAUCAGAACAGUCAUGUUUCAGCCACAGGUACGAUCAGAACAGUCAUGUUUCAGCCACAGGUAUGAUCAGAACAGUCAUGUUUCAGCUACAGGUACGAUCAGAACAGUCAUGUUUCAGCCACAGGUACUAUCAGAACAGUCAUGUUUCAGCCACAGGUACGAUCAGAACAGUCAUGUUUCAGCCACAGGUAUGAUCAGAACAGUCAUGUUUCAGCCACAGGUAUUAUCAGAACAGCUCUGUUUCUCAGCAGUGAAGCAUGGAGACCUGCCCAACGUUUGCAUGGUUCGCUGGAUUGUUUCCUAGUGCUCAUGUUCCCUCCUUCCUUCCAGUAGAGCUAGGAAGGAGCCUGGGCUUUAAAAUCAGGCUGGUUGAGGUGUUUUGCCUCGCUAGCAUUGUGAUGGUUGAGAUGUUUUCCCUAACUAGCAUUGCGUUAGCUGAGAUGUUUUGCCUAGCUAGCAUUGUGUUGGUUGAGGUGUUUUGCCUAGCUAGCAUUACGUUGGUUGAGAUGUUUUGCCUAGCUAGCAUUGCAUUGGUUGAGGUGUUCUGCCUAGCUAGCAUUGCGUUGGCGGAGAUGUUUUGCCUAGCUAGCAUUGUGUUGGUUGAGGUGUUUUGCCUAGCUAGCAUUGCGUUGGCUGAGAUGUUUUGCCUAGCUAGCAUUGCGUUGACUGAGAUGUUUUGCCUAGCUAGCAUUGCGUUGGCUGAGAUGUUUUGCCUAGCUAGCAUUGCGUUGAUUGAGAUGUUUGGCCUAGCUAGCAUUGCAUUGGUUGAGAUGUUUUUCCUAGCUAGCAUUGCGUUGGUUGAGAUGUUUUGCCUAGCUAGCAUUGCGUUGGUUGAGAUGUUUUGUCAAGCUAGCAUUGCGUUUCAGCAUGCUGGGUGUUGCUGUGCUCUUAUGGAAGACAAGGAGUGCUGUGUCAGUUGUAUCUUAGGGACACAGUGCUUUGAGAGAACUGAGACUAAUCAUCACUAAUCAAAAAAAUGUCUAUCUAUUUAUGGAGCAUUCUUUUAGUAUUAAAGGUUUUUUAUGGAAUAUAUUUCAGAAAGUCAUCCACUCUGGAGUUUCCAGUAAAACCAGUUUUGUAUUACCUUGGUCUUGGGUGCAAAUGUAGUCAUUGCUGGUUUUAGUUAAUGGUGAGGUGUGAUUGCACUGAAUAUGGAUAUGAAAAUUCAUCAAUCUACUGUUAAUGAUUUCUUGGAGUAAUACAUGUUUGUAGUGGAUUUUCUGUAACAAUAGGAAUGAAGUAGAGAUGUUUCUGUUCAUUUGAGUCCCUUAAAACAAAUGUAUAUGCCAGAGUAUAUUCAUUAAAAAUAGUUUGUUAAUUGUAUUUGUUACUGAACUUAACUUAAUUCCAAUGGCUACCAAAAAUUAGUUCAAGGCACAAGUGUUAAAAUAUGUUAAAUAAUGACCUUUAUAGCACAAUCGCGCCUCCUAAGUCAUUUUUCUUGCGCAUAGAAUAUAUUGCACAUUGAACAUGUGCUAGGCAAAUCAAGAUGGUGUUUAGCUGUUCUGUCAAACGUAAUUAAAAGAGAACUCUUAAUUAAAUUAAAAUCAGUGAGUGCCCCUGGUGGAAGGGCCAGUAAGCGGUCAUUAUGACGGACUCUUAUGAAACGGAGGAGAUGUUAGCAGUAUUAGCUGUAACUCUGCCCAUUUGCCUUAAGUGGUUUAGAAGCAGCUGGGCUUCCUUUAUAAAUGCCCCCGCCGCACGCUCGCGCUACCUCCCCGCUGAGGCUGCUGGCCUCGCUUCCCUGUUUCCUUGUUUUGGGUUUCUGUCCCCGCAGGCCGGGCGUAAUUAGUGUACCCAGAGCAGUCUUCCUGUUAAUCUCCUCACACUGGCCUCUUAAUGAGGAAAGUCUCUGCAUGUGUGCACCUCAUUCAAAAGUUCCCGUUUUGAAAAGUUUCUUACUUUUAUUUUGAGAUUUGCUGACUAAUGCUGGCCAGUGUAAUCUUUCAUAUUUUGUGAAGCGUAAAGAAGCAGUUUGAAAAUCUACAUGUGCAAGUCAAACUGUUCAGGUAAAUUAUUGCUACUAAAACCAGGUUGAUUGUUGAUUUGAGGCUUGUUCAGUAAAGUUUAAAAGUAUUGUUUUUUUCGUUCUUUCGUUUUUUUGUCAGCCACUUUGGAAAUAACCUUCAUGAAUAUAUUACUGCUUUGUUAUUGACAUAUUUUUAUCAUUUCAUAUUUAUUUUAUUUUUUUUGGGGGGGGGUUUUCAUGAUUUAAUCUGCCUUUGUACAUACUUUAAUAUGACUGCAGAGGCCCCGCAUUAAGUAACUGGGGAGGAGUAAUGCCUGGAGGUUGAGAAAACUGUUUCCAUUCUGAGGUUUAAGUGGUGUCAAGAGCAUUAUAGCAUUUCACCACUUGUGAUCAGUAAAGGAGGACCUGAAAAAGUCUACCUUUAAAUCAUUAUUCACAAAGCAUUUCUUUCACAGCAGAGAAUUAUGUUAUUAAAGGACAUGUGAAAUGAUUGUACGUACAGCCAGAGGGUCAGAGAGUAACUCUCAUUACUACCUUUUUAGCUGACGGUAUAGUCAUGGUCUUAAAGGUUGAGGAGAAAGGUGUUCUUUAUGCAGUUAGACUGCGCAGUUCAGAGCAGUUGCUGUAUGAACCUGCCGGUCUGAGUCGUGGUUUGGUGGCUCCAUUAAGGCCUGGAGCAGCUGUCUCUCUGCCCUGUAAGGAGAGGGGGGUCAGACAGAACGCCUGUGGCUCUGAUUCAGGUUCCUCACAGAGAAACAGCUUAUCUCUAAUCUAAUGAUCUCUCAUACAGAUGCAUAUAUUAAUACAGUAACUCUUACUGCAUGUGGAGACAUGCUUUUUCAGGUCUCUGCGUUGAAACCUAAUACUGAGUGGCAGAAUGACUGGACCUGUGGUCUGCAGGUGUGAAGUCAAAGUUUCGUACGUUAUCUGCACAGUAAAACGUUCGGCCUGAAAUCAACACUGACAGAGUGCUUCUGACUCUGAGUGCAUGUGGUCCCAGAAGGACGCGUAUACACACUGCUGGAGCUGGUUUAAGGCUGAGGUCUCUGCUGCGUGAGCAAGAUGUAACGAGUCAGAGAUGAACAGAAAAGAGAAGAGAGGGCAUUGUGUGUGGUGUGUGGUGUGUGUGUGCGGGGUGGGGGGGGGGGUGCGUGUGGGGGAUGUGAAUUAGAGUUUUGGAGACAAGGUAAUCCUUGGAUGGAUGAUGGGGACAGGUGCUUGAGGGGGUAGAUGGUGGGGUGCGGGUAGGCGCGGGGGGGGGGGGGGGGUCGUGAGAGAAUAUUAAUUGAUUUUCAGUACCACUGUAAAUAUGGAAUCUUGCAGUACUGUGGAACACACACAACCCCUUUUGAAAAUCAUUGCAGUCCUUAAAACCCGUCCCCUUUGGCUUUCCUCCGUGUAAAUAAUCCUUCCAAAAGCAGUGUAUUUAUAAUGUUUAAGAAGGGCAAGCCAUGUAUAGAUUGUGAUGAAUUGUCUGCCUUGUACUUUAUGAUGUAAAUGUGUUUUUAAGACUAAACAGAAAAAAAAACAAAUCACUGCUGUUAUUUUGUCUAUCUUGAGGACAAAUCUGGGGGACAGACAAAGUUUGGCAGUUAAAAAAAACAUUUGUACAAGUAUUCUAAAAGUACUUUCUUGUAUAUAUUGUGUUAGCAUGAAUAAACCGUGAUGUGGAUUUUAGAUGUAAAUACACAUUUUUUCCUACUCACGUAACUGCUGUGGUGUGGAAUUCAUUAAUAAUGCCUAACAUUAAAGAUAAUGUUUUAUCCACUGA